UUGGGAAUAUUGGACAAUGGAGGAAACUCUGAUCCAGUGACGCCGCGUGAAGGAAGAAGGUCUUCGGAUUGUAAACUUAUUUUGUCAGGGAAGAAACAAAUGACUGUACCUGAAGAAAAAGCACCGGCUAACUACGUGCCAGCAGCCGCGGUAAUACGUAGGGUGCAAGCGUUAUCCGGAUUUACUGGGUGUAAAGGGCGAGUAGACGGCGAUGCAAGUCAGAUGUGAAAUGCUAGGGCUUAACCUUAGAACUGCAUCUGAAACUGCAUUGCUAGAGUGCAGGAGAGGUAAGCGGAAUUCCUAGUGUAGCGGUGAAAUGCGUAGAUAUUAGGAGGAACAUCAGUGGCGAAGGCGGCUUACUGGACUGUAACUGACGUUGAGGCGCGAAAGCGUGGGGAGCAAACAGG
rnacentral:rRNA from 1 species